AGCGAACGCUGGCGGCAGGCUUAACACAUGCGAGUCGAGCGGGGGAAUGUGGCUUUCAGCCGCGGCCGGCGGCGUACCGGGGGGUAACGUGCACUCAGCUGCGGAUUAGCGCAGGGAAACAUCUGCUAAUACCUGCUACUACCUCAUAGGUCCAGGCGUGGGACCGGGGGAUCGGCCGGAGCCUGAGUAGCUAGUUGGUGCGGUAUCGGCUUACCAAGUCGGCGAGAUGUAGCUGGACUGAGAGGAUGAUCAGCCACACUGGGACUGGGACACGGCCCAGACUCCUACGGGAGGCAGCAGUGGGGAAUAUUGGACAAUGGGCGCAAGCCGGAUCAAGCCAUGCCGCGUGAGUGAUGAAGGCCUUAGGGUUGUAAAGCUCUUUUAUCCGGGACGAUAAUGACGGUACCGGAGGAAUAAGCCCCGGCUAACUUCGUG
rnacentral:rRNA from 1 species